rnacentral:rRNA from 1 species
GACGAACGCUGGCGGCGUGCCUAACACAUGCAAGUCGAACGGAAGUAAAGAUUCGGUUUUACUUUAGUGGCGAACGGGUGAGUAACGCGUGAGGAACCUGCCUUUCAGUGGGGGACAACAGUUGGAAACGGCUGCUAAUACCGCAUGAUACUAUUGAGUGGCAUCACUUGAUAGUCAAAGAUUUAUUGCUGAAAGAUGGCCUCGCGUCUGAUUAGGUAGUAGGUGAGGUAACGGCUCACCUAGCCGACGAUGUCUAGGGGUUCUGAGAGGAAGGUCCCCCACACUGGAACUGAGACACGGUCCAGACUCCUACGGGAGGCAGCAGUGAGGAAUAUUGGUCAAUGGACGAGAGUCUGAACCAGCCAAGUAGCGUGCAGGAUGACGGCCCUCUGGGUUGUAAACUGCUUUUACCAGGGACGAAGAACGUGACGGUACCUGGAGAAAAAGCCACGGCUAACUACGUG